UACGAAGGGGGCUAGCGUUGCUCGGAAUCACUGGGCGUAAAGCGCACGUAGGCGGCUUGUUAAGUCAGGGGUGAAAUCCUGGAGCUCAACUCCAGAACUGCCUUUGAUACUGAGGAUCUUGAGUUCGGGAGAGGUGAGUGGAACUGCGAGUGUAGAGGUGAAAUUCGUAGAUAUUCGCAAGAACACCAGUGGCGAAGGCGGCUCACUGGCCCGAUACUGACGCUGAGGCACGAAAGCGUGGGAGCAAACAGGG
rnacentral:rRNA from 1 species